CAACGAGAAGGUCGAGGUUGGAGAGCCAGAUCUCCUCCGCCGGAGUCUCCUCGCUCGGAAUCACUAAUCCCUUCUCCAGGAUUUCGAUCGGCGGAUAGCCCCCCAUUUCCAGUUUGCUUUGGGCAAGGAUGAUCGAAUUGCUUUUUUCUCCUUUGGACGGCAGUUCCAUACCCUUCUCUUCUGCAACCAGGUUGAGAGAGUUGCAAUUCCUGAGCCCGGUGCAUGGCGCCAAAGUUGAUUUUGGAGGCAUCAGUAUCCAUUGUGAAUGGUUUGCCAAAGUAAGGAAAAAUUAAUGAUGAUGCUUUCGGCAAGAAGCAAUUUAGGCUUUUAAAUGCCUAUUUAGUUGUUGAUGUUCAAUGGAAGGCUUCUUUUUGCUUCUUGGUGCUUAAAGGCGUGGUGAAAGCAGUGAAGUUGCUGUAAUAUCAAACAAGGUUGAGAACAUUUUGGGUUCUUUUGAGUUAUUGCCAGUUUCACAAACACUUCGACAAUGACAAACUGACCUUUAACUUCUUUCCCAUGGAAUGGUACUUAUGGUUAGACAAGACAAGAUGCUUAUCCUCCUAAUUGGGUUCCCGCUUGCUCGUCGCAACUGCUGAUUUAUUAUUCUGUGCGAAGUUCGGACGGCGUCUAGAGACCAAUAAAAAUGCCCCACGUCAUUCCAAAAAUGUACUGCGCUCGGUACCGAGCUCCGAACCGCUCGAUACCGAGCGUGUAACCGGAUGGUUCUCUUGUCCGGUGUCCGCACAGAAUAAUAGCUCCAACUGCUCAGUUCAUCCGAGUAUCGCUACCUUCACAGUAAACUCGCCAAAUUCAUGAAAUACUCUACAGUGCAUCUCAAGGCACGCCUCAGAUCAAUUUAAUUCAAUUUUAAAGAGGCUUAAGAUUUGAUUCGGAUAAUAUUUAAGUUUUAAUUUUUAAACAUCAUAUUUAAAUUUAACAUAUUUACUAUAUCUAACACAAACUAAACUUGAGAAGAACUGCA